GACGAACGCUGGCGGCGUGCCUAAUACAUGCAAGUAGGACGCAGUUGCGAACGGGUGAGUAACGCGUAGGUAACUACCUAUUAGAGGGGGGUAACUAUUGUAAACGAUAGCUAAUACCGCAUACUCGUAGAUGGACCUACGUUGUAUUAGCUAGUUGGUAGGGUAAUGGCCUAACUAGGCAACGGAACAUAGCCGCCCUGGGAGGGUGAUCGGGCAAACUGGGACUGUGGAACGGGCCAGACUCCUACGGGAGGGAGCAGGAGGGAAUCUUCGGCAAUGGGGGGAAACCUGGCCGAGCAAAGCCGGGUGAGUGAAGAAGGUUUUCGGGUCGUAAAGCUCUGUUGUUAAGGAAGCGGUACUUAACCAGAAAGGGACGGCUAACUACGUGCCAGCAGCCGCGGUAAUUC
rnacentral:rRNA from 1 species